rnacentral:rRNA from 1 species
AUACGGAGGGGGUUAGCGUUGUUCGGAAUUACUGGGCGUAAAGCGUACGUAGGCGGAUCAGAAAGUAUGGGGUGAAAUCCCAGGGCUCAACCCUGGAACUGCCUCAUAAACUCCUGGUCUUGAGUUCGAGAGAGGUGAGUGGAAUUCCGAGUGUAGAGGUGAAAUUCGUAGAUAUUCGGAGGAACACCAGUGGCGAAGGCGGCUCACUGGCUCGAUACUGACGCUGAGGUGCGAAAGCGUGGGGAGCAAACAGGAUUAGAAACCCCUGUAGUCC